CCACUAUUCAGAAGGGAAAUGUUUUUGUUUUUUUUAUUUAUAGCUACUACUACACUAAGCUUGAGAAGGCUUGGAACACUAAAGAGAAGAGAGAAGGCCAAGUGAGCUCGAGAUGAUUCUGCUGGUUGUUGUGUGGAAUUGAGCUCAUAUUGGUGUGCUAUUUAUAGGGGUGAAAGGGCAUGGCAAGAACCCCCAUAGGGUAGGUCGGCCGACCGGGGUUCACCCCUUUAAAGCAUGCCUUCAACUAUGCACAGGGAACCAAGCCGCGUGCUUGCAAAAAGUCACCAAGUGGGACCAAAAGCAUGGUCGGCCGACCAUGGAUUUUACCCCCCACCACUUUAAUCAUGAUGUGUUGGGUUGUCUGAUAAAGAUGGUGGUGGUGCAGACCUAAAGUUGCUGCUGGUUGCCUUGGAUUCCCAUGUUUAGUGUUUGGUGAA
rnacentral:lncRNA from 1 species